rnacentral:sRNA from 1 species
GCUUUCAACAUCCCCGUUCCGGGGCGAGGUUUUUCUUUCCAGAAGAGCCUCGCGGCCAGAACUGAAGGC